CAUAGGUACCCCAUCCCUCUCUCCAUCUCCAUCUCCAUCUCCAUCUCCAUCCACACCCCUACGCAAACCAAAAUCACUCUGCCCACAGUCGAAGUUUAUGCAUCAUCUUCUUAAGCUUGUGGUUAGUUAUCAGUCAUCUUCGCUAUGCACGAUGGCGACCACCACAAUGCCUUAGACCUGAAGAACCUCAAUGUACAUUCGUCUUGGGCCGUGGGGUAAAAGGUGUGGUUAUCUUGGAAAAAAUAGAGAAUGGGGGAUUAUUAAGAUUCAACUUUUUUUUGGUUUUGGGGAGGGGGGGGGGUUGUUUUAGAUUUUAUGUUGCAGAAUUGGUGUUGGCAUAAUGACAUUGGAAUAUCUUCAUUGAUUGGGCAUUGGUUUACAGAGAUUUGAAGCCAGAAAUGUGUCGAUUCAAGAAAACGGCUAUUUAAUGUUAGUAGAUUUUAAUUUAUCAACAUAACUUCUCCAAAAUCUGUAGAAGAUUAUUCUUCCACAAAAUCUAUGCCUAAAAUGGAGCUGUGGAAUUCCCAUUUCUCCAAGUGCUGUGACUCAGGCCGGAGGACUCAGUUAAUUCGGUCGAACUCGGUGGAGACUCAAUGAGUUACGAGUUCGACUCGGUAUAGAAAUCCAAUUCUUUGGUCGGGACGGAGGACUGUCUGAUCUGACUGAUCAUAUUAGGCAACAACCAUGUUUUUUCCUUCGACAAGUGGUGUACGAAAUGUUAUACGGCACGAAGUGCGUGGGUACAGUGAUUUUGGUUUGGGUUAGGGUGGGGUAUAUGGAUGGGGUGGGGUAGUUGUGGAAGAUGAUGGUUUUUUAUUUAAUUAUUUAAAUUGUUUUUAUAUGGAAAGAGGUAAGAUUAUCAUUUUACUCUUAUAGAAAUAAUGAGUAAUGUGGUCAAAAUCAUUUUCUUGGUUAACUAACGAAAAAAGUGGACGGAUUCCAUCUAUUGGACUUCAAAUGCAUAUUUCUGAAAGGUUAGGGACCUUUGUUGGCACAAAAUGAAGAUUCAAAUAAAGUUUAUAAAAAUUGAAAAGAUUAGGGACCGGUGUUGUAAUUUUUCCAAUAUUUUAUUUUAUAGAUGUGUGAUUAAAUCUAAAUUUAUAAUGAGCAUUGUAAGACGUUUUUAAAAGUUUGGUGGCCAAAGUUGGACUUUUUUCGAAUUUCAAAGGAAAAAUUUGACUAUUUGAUGAAUGUUCUGCACUCUGAUUUUGUGGAUCACUUAACCCAUUAUUAUGCCAUUCUUGAGAGUGUUUUAGAUGUGUAAACAUGUGAUCUUCAUGUUGUUUUACAGGUUGGAUAAAGGGUUGAAAAGAGGGAAUAAAUGAGGCUAAGCGAAAGAAAUGAAGAAGGAAGACGAAAUACAAGAACUGAAGGCGGUAGAAGAGAUGGCGCCGCAGCGCCCUGUAACAGGCGCCAUAGUGCCAGAUUAAAGUAGAAGAAACAGAAGUAGUGGCACUAUAGUGCCCAGUUUGGGCGCCACUUUGCGGGGAAGUAACUUCACCAAUUUCUGGAUUCUUUCACAGCCCAGCCCACUUCCAAAUUGUAGUGCAACUCCAAGGAAUUAUAAAUACCACUUACAAGACCUAAUGAAGAGGGGUUGGAGUGGGCAAAAUUUGCGAACAAUCGAUAGACAAAUUGGAGAGAGAAGGCAGCCGCCCAAAUUCAAGAAUUGGGGAGAAUCUAGAGAGAAUUACAUAGAUUUCAGCCGCCUAACACAAGACCCCAAAUACAGAGCUUAACUGGAAAAGCUUCAGCCAACCGAAAAUUGUAGAAGGAACGAACCAGAGGGAACUUCAAGCAGACAACCAACUUACAAUCUGGAAGAAGAGAAAAAAGUGGACGGCUGGAUAAAUUUGAAAGAGUCAAAGGGCAGAAUUUAAUUGGAAGGCGUGGAACAAGGGAAGAAUCGAUUACACUCCAAAAGAGUUUAAUUUCUUUUCUUUCUCCUUUACGUUUUUCAUUAUAAUUUGUAUGAAUUUUAUAGAUUUUAUCAUGAGCUAAACAACUUACCUAGGGUUUGAUGUAGCCAAAUCAAAAUUAUGGUUUGAUGAACUUAUUAAUUAUUUCGUUUGAUUUCCCACAUAUAUUUAAUCG
rnacentral:lncRNA from 1 species